rnacentral:rRNA from 1 species
AACUCUGAUGCAGCAAUGCCGCGUGAGGGAAGACGGUCUUCGGAUUGUAAACCUCUGUCCUUGGUGAAGAUAAUGACGGUAGCCAAGGAGGAAGCUCCGGCUAACUACGUGCCAGCAGCCGCGGUAAUACGUAGGGAGCAAGCGUUGUCCGGAUUUACUGGGUGUAAAGGGUGCGUAGGCGGCUCUUUAAGUCGGGCGUGAAAGCUGUGGGCUUAACCCACAAAUUGCGUUCGAAACUGGAGGGCUUGAGUGAAGUAGAGGUAGGCGGAAUA